rnacentral:tRNA from 1 species
AUGUUACUAGUAAAAUAUUACAUUGCCUUGUCAAGGCAGCAUUGUAGGUUAAAGCCCUGCGUACCAUA